GGGUCUUUAGCUCAGUUGGUAGAGCGGCUCCUUUACACGGAGUAGGUCGGCAGUUCGAGACUGUCAAGACCCACCA
rnacentral:tRNA from 1 species